rnacentral:tRNA from 1 species
GCUUUAAUAGUUUAAAUAAAAUGUUAUAUUGUGGAUAUAGAGAUAUGUAUAUUUAGAGCA